AGAGUUUGAUCCUGGCUCAGGAUGAACGCUGGCGGCGUGCCUAACACAUGCAAGUCGAACGAAGCACCUUACCUGAUUCUUCGGAUGAAAGUUUGGUGACUGAGUGGCGGACGGGUGAGUAACGCGUGGGUAACCUGCCCUGUACAGGGGGGAUAACAGCUGGAAACGGCUGCUAAUACCGCAUAAGCGCACGAGGAGACAUCUCCUUGUGUGAAAAACUCCGGUGGUACAGGAUGGGCCCGCGUCUGAUUAGCUGGUUGGCAGGGUAACGGCCUACCAAGGCAACGAUCAGUAGCCGGUCUGAGAGGAUGAACGGCCACAUUGGAACUGAGACACGGUCCAAACUCCUACGGGAGGCAGCAGUGGGGAAUAUUGCACAAUGGGGGAAACCCUGAUGCAGCAACGCCGCGUGAGUGAAGAAGUAUUUCGGUAUGUAAAGCUCUAUCAGCAGGGAAGAUAAUGACGGUACCUGACUAAGAAGCUCCGGCUAAAUACGUGCCAGCAGCCGCGGU
rnacentral:rRNA from 1 species